UACGGAGGAUGCGAGCGUUAUCCGGAUUUAUUGGGUUUAAAGGGUGCGUAGGCGGUCCGGAAAGUCAGCGGUAAAAGCCCGGGACUCAACCCCGGCGAGCCGUUGAAACUGUCGGACUAGAGACGGCGAGAAGUACGCGGAAUGCGCGGUGUAGCGGUGAAAUGCAUAGAUAUCGCGCAGAACUCCGAUUGCGAAGGCAGCGUACCGGCGCCGGACUGACGCUGAGGCACGAAAGCGUGGGUAUCGAACAGG
rnacentral:rRNA from 1 species